GAGAUUACUCUGUACUGUAUGCUUUAGCUUGUUUUAAUUUUAGCUAUAAGUAAAUCCACAAGAGAUCUUCAAGUAAACAGAUGUCAUGUGCCUCAUUUGUCAUGGACACACGUAGACAUCACGAGAAUCACUAUAUGGAGAGCAGCACUGAUUGUCUUUUUAUGAAACAAAACAGAAGGAUGAUGAUGGUACGGGCUUGAAGACUAAAGGGAGAAGCAGCAAAAAGGAUACAACAGCAAACCACAACUUCUCACAGGAUAGAAAGUAAAACAUUUUUUUUUCAUAAACUGUGAAUAUCUCCAAGCUGGACAGGUUGAUGAGAUUGGUGAAGUUUAUUAGUCUUUGUGGAUUCAGAAGCCCUCAAAUCACAGAUAGGGCAAAACCUGCUUGGAUUUGUAAUCAAACCGAAAGAAGAUGGUUGGUGUUCAUUGAUUCUUGAAGACAAGAUGGGACUAGUACUUCAACUGCUGCCUAUGUGCCUAGGCAACAGCUUGUACAUCAAAGCAACCUACUGCAUGCAAAGCAAUCAAAAUAUUUCCAAGAGGGGCUGGAUGAAUGGACAAUUGGUUUACUUUUCAAGACUGGUCCAUAAUGUAGUGACUUAGCUGAAAACAUGAAUUUGAAAGAAACCUAAGAGACACUGGCAGCAUACAUUAUUGUUCACAACUGAAUAAAAAGAAGCAUGUUUAAUAAAAUAAUCAAUUUUGUAAGCAAUGCUCAUAAGACUAAGUUGUACUUACUAGGAAAUAUGAAAAAUAUGAGUCUUUCACAAAGGUAGUCUCUGGAGCUUCUUUAUUAUGUACUUCUAAACUAACCAGGCUGAUAGAUAAAGCAUGUUUUUACUUAAGAAAAAGUUUAGAUCAGAAAAUCUAUUAUAAUUUUGUUUGACUUAUUCCUUAAGCUAUGCAUAUCUUUCUUAUUCCAAAAUUGCUGGAAAAUUAAGAUGAGUACAGAAAGUGUAGAGUGAACAUGAAUAGUUACACAUAUUUCAUUUAUAUCUACAUUAUAU